rnacentral:rRNA from 1 species
AGUGAACGCUGGCGGUAGGCCUAACACAUGCAAGUCGAACGGCAGCACAGUAAGAGCUUGCUCUUACGGGUGGCGAGUGGCGGACGGGUGAGGAAUACAUCGGAAUCCACUUUUUCGGGGGGGAUAACGUAGGGAAACUUACGCUAAUACCGCAUACGACCUACGGGUGAAAGCAGGGGAUCUUCGAACCUUGCGCGAUUGAAUGAGCCAAUGUCGGAUUAGCUAGUUGGCGGGUUAAAGGCCCACAAAGGCGACGAUCCGUAACUGGUAUGAGAGGAUGAUCAGCCACACUGGCAGUGAGAAUCAGCACCGACUCCGGCACGGGGCCACAGUGGGGAAUCUUGGAGGAUGGACGAAAGCCUAAUCCAGCCAUACCGCGUGGGGGAUGAAGCCGUUAGGCUUCUAAAGCCAUUUUGUUGUGAAAGAAGAGAAGCAGGUUAAUCCCCCGCUGUACUGACGGUACCCAAAGAAUAAGCACCGGCUAACUUCGUG